rnacentral:rRNA from 1 species
AUUGAACGCUGGCGGCAUGCCUUACACAUGCAAGUCGAACGGCAGCACGGGAGCAAUCCUGGUGGCGAGUGGCGAACGGGUGAGUAAUACAUCGGAACGUGCCCAAUCGUGGGGGAUAACGCAGCGAAAGCUGUGCUAAUACCGCAUAAGAUUUACGGAUGAAAGCAGGGGAUCGCAAGACCUUGCGCGAAUGGAGCGGC